CAAUAGGCUACCACGUUCAUCUCAUUGGCCAGGAAGGGUCAUGUGGCCCUUUUCACUACCAGGAGCAUGGGGGAAAGCAAGUUUCAUGAGAGCGGGACCUUGUCUAUCUUGUUCACAACUUUAUUCCUGGCACCUGGGGCAGUGCCUGUGACUAAUCUGUCAGCACACUUCAGAAGAGCUGAACCUUUGAAACAGAGCCUGCCUAACUACAUUUCCAGUUUAAGCAGAG